CAUCUUACAAGUGUAGAAUUUCUUCCUUAUAAAAAUGAUAUUGGACUAGUUCUUGCUCUCAUAUAUAUUACAAAGGAUCUUCUAUGCUUUUGCUAGUUUUUUACAAGAAAUAAUGUGAGAAAAGUUGGUUUCAUCCAAAUACGUGGCAAUCAUGCCAAAAGCCUUCUUUUCACAUCUCGUAAAGUCCUUCCUGUCUUUAGCAUCAGCAUGCAUGCUUGGAGGCUCUUUACUUUCAUCUAUAAUAUUCCAAAGGUCCAAAGAUGCCAAUAAAAGUUCUAUUUUCAUCUUCCAAUGGUAGAAAUUAUCACCUUUAAACUUUUCAAUCACUCUCAAAUCUUCACCCUCAUUAGAAGCCAUGUCUAAGAAUAUAUCUAUCAAAAAAUAUCAAAAAAAAAAGAGUCUCUAUGUGCUUAAAUUCAUCAAAAUAAUUUUACACUAGCAAUAUCUCAAAAUACCCUCUUGUAAACAAAUGAAUGUUUCUUCACUCCAAACACUUCUAACUCAACUUUCAAAGCUUCUAACAAGUAUGUAGAUUCCAUUCAGCCUUACU
rnacentral:lncRNA from 1 species